rnacentral:rRNA from 1 species
CCUACGGGAGGCAGCAGUGAGGAAUAUUGGUCAAUGGGCGCGAGCCUGAACCAGCCAAGUAGCGUGAAGGAUGACUGCCCUACGGGUUGUAAACUUCUUUUAUAAAGGAAUAAAUUUAGGCACGUGUGCCUUUUUGUAUGUACUUUAUGAAUAAGGAUCGGCUAACUCCGUUCCAGCAGCCGCGGUACUACGGAGGAUCCGAGCGUUACCCGGAUUUAUUGGGUGUAAAGUGAGCGUAGAUGGGUUGUUGAGUCAGUUGUGAAAGUUUGCGGCUCAACCGGAAAAUUGCAAUUGAUACUGGCAGCCUUGAGUACUGUAGAGGUAGGCAGAAUUCGUGGUGUAGCGGUGAAAUGCGUAGAGAUGACGAAGAACUCCGAUUGCGAAGGCAGCUUACUAGACAGCGACUGACAUUGAGGCGCGAAAGUGUGGGUAUCAAACAGGAUUAGAUACCCGAGUAGUC